rnacentral:rRNA from 1 species
UGAGGAAUAUUGGUCAAUGGGCGCAAGCCUGAACCAGCCAUCCCGCGUGCAGGAAGACGGCGCUAUGCGUUGUAAACUGCUUUUCCAGGGAGAGAAACUUGCGCACGUGUUGCGCAAUUGACGGUACCCUGGGAAUAAGCAUCGGCUAACUCCGUGCCAGCAGCCGCGGUAAUACGGAGGAUGCGAGCGUUACCCGGAUUCAUUGGGUUUAAAGGGUGCGUAGGCGGACUAUUAAGUCAGUGGUGAAAUCCUGCAGCUUAACUGCAGAACAGCCAUUGAUACUGAUAGUCGUGAGUUUGGUGAAGGUAGGCGGAAUGUGUAAUGUAGCGGUGAAAUGCUUAGAUAUGACACAGAACACCAAUUACGUAGGCAGCUUACUGAGCCGACACUGACGCUGAGGCACGAAAGCGGGGGGA